rnacentral:lncRNA from 1 species
GUCCCGUCUGAUUGCAAAACUGCUGAGCAUUGUCAGUCCUUCUGAUUCAGUACCUAUCCUCAUGCCUUGCAGCUCUAGAUCAGUCUGCUAAACAGUCGUCGUUUCAGGAUCGUGAAUAAGCAGACACUGCAAAGAUUGUUCUGGCCACAGGGAAGCUUCUGAAGGAAAUCAGAAGAUCAUCUGUAACGCGUUCCCAUCUAAAGAUCUGUUUGCACUGCAAGAGCCAUGUGAAACCGUCGCUAUGGACAGGCAUGGCACCAAAAUGAAUCUAAUGUGAAAGAAGGAAGGACACAGAACCUUCACAAAA